rnacentral:snRNA from 1 species
GCAUCUUCUCAGCCUUUUGGCUAAGAUCAAGUGUAAUAUCUGUUCUUAUAGGUUAAUUCUGGGUUGUGCAGUACCUGGCAGUGAGCUCUGCCUUUGAGAUCUCGAAGCGGGAUGGUCGCCGUUGUUCUGACCCUCCUCAUGAUUAUUUAUUGGCGGUAGAUGCAGCAGGAAUGCCAGCCUCUGUUUGUUGGAAACAGGAUUCUAGCACAAUUC